rnacentral:rRNA from 1 species
AGUGAACGCUGGCGGUAGGCCUAACACAUGCAGGUCGAACGGCAGCACAGUAAGAGCUUGCUCUUACUGGUGGCGAGUGGCGGACGGGUGAGGAAUACAUCGGAAUCUACUUUUUCGUGGGGGAUAACGUAGGGAAACUUACGCUAAUACCGCAUACGACCUACGGGUGAAAGCAGGGGAUCUUCGGACCUUGCGCGAUUGAAUGAGCCGAUGUCGGAUUAGCUAGUUGGCGGGGUAAAGGCCCACCAAGGCGACGAUCCGUAGCUGGUCUGAGAGGAUGAUCAGCCACACUGGAACUGAGACACGGUCCAGACUCCUACGGGAGGCAGCAGUGGGGAAUAUUGGACAAUGGGCGCAAGCCUGAUCCAGCCAUACCGCGUGGGUGAAGAAGGCCUUCGGGUUGUAAAGCCCUUUUGUUGGGAAAGAAAAGCAGCAGGUUAAUACCCCGCUGUUCUGACGGUACCCAAAGAAUAAGCACCGGCUAACUUCGUG